GUCGACCCUGGCACAUUAACAAAGACUGGCACGCGUUUACGAGAAGACCCCUGAAUAAGUCGAAUCGACUCCAGAAUAGUCUCAGAAGAAAGACAGAAAGAGGUGAAAACUUGCACUUUCAUGAGUCGACCCCAAAACAAUCUCAGAAGGAAAAAAAAAUUGGUGAAAACCUGCACCUUUCCGAGUCAACCUCUAAAUCAGUCUAGUCGAUCCCAGAACAAUCUUAGAAAAAAGAAAGAAAGAGGUAAAAAC
rnacentral:lncRNA from 1 species